rnacentral:tRNA from 1 species
CCGGAAUAGCUCAGUUGGUAGAGCAGAGGACUGAAAAU